AUUGAACGCUGGCGGCAUGCCUUACACAUGCAAGUCGAACGGUAACAGGUCUUCGGAUGCUGACGAGUGGCGAACGGGUGAGUAAUACAUUGGAACGUGCCCGAUCGUGGGGGAUAACGAAGCGAAAGCUUUGCUAAUACCGCAUACGAUCUACGGAUGAAAGCAGGGGACCGCAAGGCCUUGCGCUAACGGAGCGGCCGAUGGCAGAUUAGGUAGUUGGUGGGAUAAAAGCUUACCAAGCCGACGAUCUGUAGCUGGGCUGAGAGGACGACCAGCCACACUGGGACUGAGACACGGCCCAGACUCCUACGGGAGGCAGCAGUGGGGAAUUUUGGACAAUGGGCGAAAGCCUGAUCCAGCCAUGUCGCGUGCAGGAUGAAGGCCUUCGGGUUGUAAACUGCUUUUGUACGGAACGAAAAGACUCUGGUUAAUACCUGGGGUCCAUGACGGUACCGUAAGAAUAAGCACCGGCUAACUACGUGCCAGCCGCCGCGGUAA
rnacentral:rRNA from 1 species